UCUGUUUGCUUCCCCUUAGAAAUUCGCUUUGGUGGCAUGAUUGAUUCCUGUAACAAAAAGUUAUGCCCCAAAAAUAAAGUAGGGAAAAAGGAAAAACGAUUACCGUAGCCUUGUAGAGGGUGGAGAGUAUAGCAACUUUUAUGAAGGGUGCCGACGAUUUGGACGGAGUAAAGUGGCCAAGUUGUGAGAUUUUUGGUGGUGAGGUUA
rnacentral:lncRNA from 1 species